rnacentral:rRNA from 1 species
CCUACGGGUGGCUGCAGUGGGGAAUAUUGGACAAUGGGCGAAAGCCUGAUCCAGCCAUGCCGCGUGUGUGAAGAAGGCCUUCGGGUUGUAAAGCACUUUCAGUUGGGAAGAAAGCCUUGGGGCUAAUACCCUCCUGGAUGGACAUCACCCACAGAAUAAGCACCGGCUAACUCCGUGCCAGCAGCCGCGGUAAUACGGAGGGUGCGAGCGUUAAUCGGAAUUACUGGGCGUAAAGCGCGCGUAGGCGGUCUGAUAAGCCGGUUGUGAAAGCCCCGGGCUCAACCUGGGAACGGCAUCCGGAACUGUCAGGCUAGAGUGCAGGAGAGGAAGGUAGAAUUCCCGGUGUAGCGGUGAAAUGCGUAGAGAUCGGGAGGAAUACCAGUGGCGAAGGCGGCCUUCUGGACUGACACUGACGCUGAGGUGCGAAAGCGUGGGUAGCAAACAGGAUUAGAUACCCGGGUAGUC